rnacentral:rRNA from 1 species
AUGUCAAAGUGCAACACUAUAAACCGGAAGGCGAUGGCCACCCUCACCAUGCUUGUCAGUUGGGUCAUCUGGAAUGAGAGAAACACAAGGGUUUACCUGAAGAAAUCGACACCGCCCUACUACAUUCUGAAGACCAUUUAGUAUGAUGCCAAGCUUUGGAUCUAUGUAGAGGCUAAGCAUCUGAGCGACAUCAUGCCAUGAGAGUAA